UACAGAGGUGGCAAGCGUUGUUCGGAAUUACUGGGCGUAAAGGGCGCGUAGGCGGUUCGUUAAGUCCUGUGUGAAAUCCCCCGGCUCAACUGGGGAACUGCACAGGAAACUGGCGGGCUUGAAUCCGGGAGAGGGAUGCGGAAUUCCAGGUGUAGCGGUGAAAUGCGUAGAUAUCUGGAGGAACACCGGUGGCGAAGGCGGCAUCCUGGACCGGCAUUGACGCUGAGGCGCGAAAGCCAGGGGAGCAAACGGG
rnacentral:rRNA from 1 species